UAAAACGAGAUUUUAAUCGAUGGGACUCGAAAAACUACAUAGUGCAAUUUUUAUUAUUACUUGUAAAUUGUUCUACUACUUCGUAAAUAUUACUAAUAACGAAUCAAAAAGCAUUGAAAUUCUUACGAAAUUCUAACAAAAAUUAAAAUCCUCUUUAUCUUAUUUUUUUAUUAGUUUUUUCUUACUCCAAAAAUUCGAAACAUCGAGCGAGCAACAAUGGUUCGUUAAAAUUUAAUUAACCAAUCGUUGUACAUGCAUCGAUAAAUAAUAAAUAAUUGCACAAUGUGAUAAUUACAUUAUUUCAUUCAGGAUAAAUAAUUGAAUUAUUUUAUAAUUUAAAUCUUUAACCAAAUCUUACACUCUAUACUUAUCUUUCUUCACGAAAACUCUCCUCUUAAUCUUUCAUUUUUCAAAGGACACAACCGAUCCCUCCCUAACCUUGAUUCCUUCACGGUCGAUUUGUACGCACGGAGAAUGCAGCCAGAAGCGAAUCCAAGAACGGGCAAACGGGCAUGGCAUCGUGCGUCAUCCCACGGCCCCGUUCUAUGGGGGCCUAGAACCUCACCUAGGGGCCCUUUAUCCGGCCUACCGUCUAUUGAAUAGAAAGGACGAGGGGGGGAGUGUUCGUUUAACUUGGAGUGCAAGCAGGUGCGUUCAACCCGCAACUAGUGUACAGUUUACCUGCGGGAGCGUCUGCCAGUAAACGUUCGUGCCUCGUUCCGUUUCCGUAUCGCGCAGAGAUUUAGUUCAAUUCGUUGUUUCAAAGUGAUAAUUGAUCUUGGAUGAUUUAACUACGACAGCGGGCGCAUCCGUGACACCGGCCAGUGCGGCGCGAGGACCAGGAUCAGGAGGAGCAGCACCGCGCUUAUUUCCAAGGAUUACCACGUUUCUCGAGGAUGGGCUGUUGCUGCUGCACGGACGAGCCAUCGUCCAAGGUGGAGCCUCGGGUAAGGAUUAUUUUUUACGAUUACGCCCGUUGAAAUUUCCGCCCGGGUAUUUCAAUAUAAAACUUCUGGUCGCGUAGCGGUGCGGUAAGUGAAACGGGUCAGGUCAACGUGUUUCGCUUUAAACUUCCCGCGUAAAUUCUUGUCGCGUAAUUGUGGAAGAGAGAAAAGUAAUUAUUCGUGGACACGUGUGUACGUAAUACGUAUACGUUUUAAUUAUCGUUUGUAUGCGCGUUGAUGAUAAAUUAUUCCAAUAUUUGGAUGUUCGACGUACGUUUAACUUAUAUAAUAAAUAUUAUGGAUGUAUGCAUAAUACAUACGUAUAAUAGUAUAGUUGAUUUAUCACUCGUAGAAAGUUCAUUUUUUUCUUUUUUAUUCAGUAGUUGGAUUGAUGAAAUUAUGCUUUACAAUAAUCGUUAGAAAUGAGAAUUAAAUAAAAGAAUAGAUAUUUUAAAGUCGCGUGGAAUUAUAGUGGACCUUCGUUUUUUGAAAUCAUCCCUUUUGAUUCAUAAAGGUAUCAUCUUACUUAAA
rnacentral:misc_RNA from 1 species